rnacentral:rRNA from 1 species
GAUGAACGCUAGCGGCAGGCCUAAUACAUGCAAGCUGAACGGUAAAUGUUGUAGCAAUACAAUAUGGGAGUAGCGUAAGGGUGCGUAACACGUAUGCAAUCUACCCGCAACAGGAGGAUAGCUCCCCGAAAGGGGAAUUAAUACUCCAUAAGAUCGCGAGAAGGCAUCUGAUUGUGAUUAAACUCCAAGGGGUUGCGGAUGAGCAUGCGCAUGAUUAGUUAGUUGGCGGGGUAACGGCCCACCAAGACGAUGAUCAUUAGGGGAACUGAGAGGUUGAUCCCCCACACUGGCACUGAGAUACGGGCCAGACUCCUACGGGAGGCAGCAGUAGGGAAUAUUGGUCAAUGGGUGAAAGCCUGAACCAGCCAUGCCGCGUGCAGGAAGAAAGCCUUCUGGGUUGUAAACUGCUUUUAUCUGGGGAUAAAAUACCCGUGCGCGGGGAAUUGAAGGUACCAGAUGAAUAAGCCACGGCUAACUACGUGCCAGCCGCCGCAGUAAAAC